rnacentral:rRNA from 1 species
GAGGAUAUUGCGCAAUGGAGGCAACUCUGNCGCAGCCAUGCCGCGUGCAGGAUGACAGCCCUACGGGUUGUAAACUGCUUUUCUGCAGGAAGAAUCCUCCCUACGUGUAGGGAGUUGACGGUACUGCAGGAAUAAGCAUCGGCUAACUCCGUGCCAGCAGCCGCGGUAAUACGGAGGAUGCAAGCGUUAUCCGGAUUCAUUGGGUUUAAAGGGUGCGCAGGCGGAUAUGUAAGUCAGAGGUGAAAGCCCACAGCUUAACUGUGGAAUUGCCUUUGAUACUGCAUAUCUUGAGUCUGGUUGAGGUAGGCGGAAUGUAGUAUGUAGCGGUGAAAUGCAUAGAUAUACUACAGAACACCCAUUGCGAAGGCAGCUUACCAAACCAGCACUGACGCUCAGGCACGAAAGCGUGGGGAGCAAACAGGAUUAGAUACCCUGGUAGUCCACGCCGUAAACGUUGAUCACUCGUUGUUGGCAAUACACCGUCAGCGACUAANCAAAAGCAUUAAGUGAUCCACCUGGGGAGUACNAUCGCANGGUUGAAACUCAAAGGAAUUGNCGGNGGCCCGNACAAGCGGNGGANCUG